GCGAAGGAGAACAAUAAGAGGCAGGUAAAGCUGGAGCCCGUAACAGGAGGAAACGUGAGCAUUGAAAACCCGCCCUUUGGAUGAACUGACCACAGCUGGACAACACCAGUGCCAGGCCAGGGUUCCAAGCACUGCAGAGAUGAAGCACCUUCUUCCAGGAGUUCCUGGAGUUCUCAGAAGCCAGAGUGGACUUGUUCCUCCGUUUUAUUUGAUGAGGGUCUGGCUCUGUCACCCAGGCUGGAGCGUAGCUGCACCUCUGCCUCCAGGGCUCAAGUGAUCCUCCCACCUCAGCCUCACAAGUCACUGGGACCACAGCACGUGCCACCACACCCAGCUAAUGUUUGCUUUCUUUGUAGAGACAGGGUUUCACCAUGUUGCACAGGCUGGUCUCAAACUCCUGAGCUCAUGCGAUUCUCCUGUCUUGGCCUCCCAAAGUGAUGGGAUUACAGGUUUGAGCCACUGCACUCAUCCUAGGUAUUUCUCUAUAGCAAUGCAAGAAAAACUAAUACGAAGGUGAAUCCAUCUGCAGAUCCAGACUCCACAGGAAGCCAGCAAGUGUGAUUGCGGGCUCUGCUGCAUUUCAGGGGCGGUUCUAUACUUGGCACGUGCAUGCUUUCCCCAGCCUAGCAUAUUAGCCUGCUGGGGCUACUAUAACAAAAUACCACAAACUGAGUGGCUUAAUACAACUGAAAUGCAUUCUCUCACACUUCUAGUGGCCAAAGUCCAAGAUCAAAGUUUUGGCAGGGUUGGCUCCUUCUGGACACUCAGAGGGAGAGUCUGUCCUGUGUCUCUCCCCUGGCUUCUCCUGGUUGCUGGCAACCCUUGGCAUUUUUUGCUUAUAAAUGCAUCCCUCUUAUCUCAGCCUGUACUGUCACGUGACCUUCUUCCCUGUGCAUCUGUCUCUUGUCCUCUUCUUCUAAGGACAGCAGUCAUAUUGGAUUAAGGGCCCAGCCACUCCAGCAUGACCUCCUCUUAACUUGAUGGCAUUCAAAGCCAUCAGGUUUGGAAACAAGGUCACAUUACCAGGGACCGGAGGCUAGGACUUGAAGAUACCCUUUGGGAGGAGACACCUGCAACGUUUGGAUUGGAGAAGACUCAGUGACCUUCUGGGAUGUCGUUUACCCUCCCUGGGCUGCAGCUUCCUUGUUUGUAGAGGAAGAGGUUAAAUUAAACAAUCUCUUCCAGGUCUCAUGGUCUUCGAAUCUGUUUUCUCCUCUGCUGUUUUCUCAGCUUCCUUCUCCCGAUGGAAAUAGGGGGCCAGUGUAUUUCCCCUGCCUCCCCUCCCUCUCAGCCCUGCUUUCAAGUCUUAGAGCUGGCAAGGGCUUUGUGCAAUACUCCAGGUCCUACCCUCAAUUUCUGGUGGAACAACAGAAUAAGCGGUCUCUGCAUGCACACAAAUCCCUUCAGCUCCGUCUGGGCCCAGCGGCAGCUGACCAACCAGCCCAUCACACACCUUUCUGCAGGCCCCUUCCCCGCCCGGCCUCUUUCUCUACUCUUUUUGUUUAUUUUUAUUCCCCAGUCUCUCAUCUCUCACCUAUACAGUCAAGUUUCCAGCCUCUCUUUCCACCCACUGUUCAGCCAUCAGUCAGCCUAAACAUUCUACUUUCUGCCUUUCUCCCCACAAGCAACUUUGUUUGCAGAGAACCCACAGAGUUUGACAUGUUGUCUGCAGACUCUCUGUCCACAGGCUGCAGGUGUAGUGGAGCCCGCUCCAGACUGAGACAGAGGCCCAGGUUUUUACCAGGCUGUGCUGCUGCCAGCCUGGUGUGACUACCCAUCCCACCCCCUUCGAUACCUGUGCCUCAGUUUCUCCCAUGGAUAAUGGAGUGGGACUCAAUGGGAGUAACAGACUCCAAGAACAUGAAUGGGGGUGAGCAGGGACCACCAAACACGUCCUCUGCCCAUCUCAUGUCCGACCCACUCACCUCCCAAGUAACAGGCACAACUUCACCAAAUCUGUGGCCCCCCAACUGGGUGGAUAAGGCCAGGACUUGCUUCUGAUUUGCACAGCACAUCCCCCCAGCAUUGGAAUAAAAGCUGCUCAGGAUGGCCCUCGAGAUAAGGUUUUCAGAGCUCUAGGGAUCCAGACCCAAAACUGCGGGACCUCUGAGGAAGCACAGGUUCCUGCACUGAAGGCAGAGCACUGGCCAUCUAUUUUGACUCUAAAUAUUUGGAGGAAUUCUGCGAGCUGUUUUGUAAGCUGCACUGAGGUAAUGCUGUGUCAUGGAAACCAGUGCAGGCAAGAUUUCUAGGGAGAGGCAGUGUUUACCCUUGUUACAUGGACUAGAGGUCAGCAAAAGCAGAAGCCCCUCAAGAGCGUGCGCAGAGCUGCAGAGGUAAGCUGGCAGGUCCCAACCAGUCUCCAGCAAAUUUGGCCAUGAAAUGAGGAAUCCCUGGGACCUCCGUUUUUCUUGGCCAUGUCCCUUGCUGGGCACCUAUAUGCGUGAUCUUAUUUCAGCUUCAUGAUUCUUGCAGGCAUCAUUAUCAAUGUUUUUGUUGCUGUUUUAACUGGCGGGGUGGGCGGGGAGAGAGGGGAAAUCACGUUCCCAGAGACAUAUAGCUAAAGAGAAAGUGAAGAUUUGAGCCUGACACCAGCCAUGCUUUUCCUGACAUUCCUGGCAGUGUGAAAGGAAGGACAGCAAUAUGGUUUUCUUGAAGGGGUAACAAGUUUCAGCAAAUAAUUUUGCUUAUAUCUUACGAGAGAGGCAUGGAUGUUUGCUGGGAGGGAAAGGAGCUAGUAGCAAGUGGAAGAGGAAAGACUCCAAAACCAAGAGGAGGGCUCUUCUCUCCCAGAGUUGAGGGGGGAAGGAUGGGAGGGAGGUAAAGGUCAGAAAUCUCUCUUUAUUUGGAAUGGUUUGCACAGCGGCUCACAAUCGGAGCUUCCCUCUGCCUCAGACAGGCCUCUUCUCUAACAGGUGUAAUGCAGUGAUGUUUUCCUUUGGCUUCCUUGCUGAGUCAUGACUAGAUUUGCCUGGGAAAGCUCAGAUAUUACUGAUUCAGUGUUCAUUCCUUUUUCCUCCUUACCACCAGCCUUCAACACUCCAUAUGACGCCUUCAAUAGGAAGGGAGGAAGAUAAAUAACAUGGAAACAGAGAGAAUCACCUGGACCAAUUUUGGUAUUAAAAAACCUGGAAAAAGCAUUACAUGUUUGUCUUUAAUUUUUCUGCCCUCAGAGUGAAUCUUGGUCAUCGUUACAGAACUGUAGAGCUCCAAGAUGAUACCUUUUAUUUCUAAGGAUCCUGCAUGCAGUGUGAGAAGCUGGCUGACGUUGCUAGCUCCACUUCAAAGGUAAAGAAACUGAGUCAGGCAGAGAGAGCACCAGAUCUGUCUGAGCUCAGUGGAGGCGAACAAUCAGAGACUCGACUGAAUAACAGCCUCAGAAAAAGGAUGCAGUUUAGUCUUCCAGCUACGGGCUAAGGUGUCUUAUUUUUUCUAGAGUAAUAAAAAUCAGAAUUUUAAAGUAUAUUCCCUUACUUACCCUGGAGGGCUCAAGAACUCUUUCUUCUUGCUUUUUAUGACUCCGAUUUUACCUGUAGAAGUAAGUGGCACUAUAAAUCCCAAACAGCUUCCUACCUGCUGUUCUUCCCUAGUGAGGCUUGAAGUGAUUACUAGAUAUGGUUUCAGGCUCUGCAAAAUGAUAGGAAACUUAGGGAGUUUGCUUUCUUCUCAGAUUUACCAGGAAGAGAGGGUAAUUUAAAUGGCAUUUCAUUAUCUCAAAAGAGAUGACAAUAAAUAUAUUCUUCUGUUACUGAGAACAGACAAGUAAUUUCUAUUCUUGGAGAUCUUUCCAUGGGAAUUAGAGUAAAACUUCCAAGUUCAAACAUGUUGCCUUUCCUUAUUAGAAAAUCUUGUACUAAAUUGUCACUCUUUAAAACCAGUCACAGUUGAAACUCAUCUCUUCCUUAACAAUGGGUGGAGGUAGAGAGGAGAGGAAUUCAGAACCCUACAGACCCUAAUGCCCAUGAAACCCCCCUCAUGCUUGACCACUUUAGAGGCUGUCUCCCCACUACCAGAUGGGAAGAAACUGGUUGACAAUCUGCAAGUUGUCUUAAAGAGGACAGCACCUGCUCCAGGCCCCAAGUUAUUAAGAAGUACACGUUAAACCAGAAUCUCAUUACGGCUGUCAGAAUUAUAAUGAUUGACAGCUGGAAAAUCUUAUCAUGCAUUUCCGCAGGAUUGCAGCAAAGCUUUGAUUAGCAUUUAGGCAUUCACAUUUGCAGAAGCAGCAUUUUUAUUUGCUCUUAAAUAAUUUUUUAUAACACUCAGACCCAGCACUGAAAUGCUAUAGUGUACUGAUGAGGAGGCUGGUGCCACACAAAACCAAGAUGGGCUUUGUUUUGUUUCUCCUCAAUAUUAUCCUGGCUAGCAUGACCCUGGUUUCCCAUCUCUUGGAUAAAGAAGGAGCUGAACAGAAGUUAUUCAGCUUGUGAUUUGCGCCAGGAGAUGACACAGACUUGCUCUUGACCUCUAAAAAGCACUUCCAAAUUCUCAAGUGUAAUAGAAAUGAACAGCACAGAGGAUGGUUUUAAGAUAAAUAAAUCAAAGUGCCAUCUUAAUUUACAACCAAGAAGGGGCAUGUCUAUACAUUAGACUAAAUAAAACCCCAUGGUUACAAGAAAAUUAGCAUAUGGCCAGUAAAGGUAUUUUCAUAUAAUCUCGGCUUAAUAUUUAAAGUCAUUGGUAACUAAUGGUGAAAAAUGAGAUUUUUUUUCCCCAAAACUACUCCUACUGGCAGAGAAUAUGGUACUAUUGUAUCAUAAAGGCUAUGAGCUCCACUUAUUGCCAUAGUUUUUGGAAAUAGUAAUUGUGUUGGUUUUUAGCUAUUGCUUCCCAGAUCCAAAUCCACUAUUCCAUACUGUGCUUUAUGAUUCUGGCAUUGGGAUGCCAUAAAUGUCAUUUCUCCUUUUUCUAUGCUGCUAACUGAUAUAGAGAGUUU
rnacentral:lncRNA from 1 species